GACGAACGCUGGCGGCGUGCUUAACACAUGCAAGUCGAACGGAAAGGCCCUGCUUUUGUGGGGUGCUCGAGUGGCGAACGGGUGAGUAACACGUGAGUAACCUGCCCCUGACUUUGGGAUAACUUCAGGAAACUGGGGCUAAUACCGGAUAGGAGCUCCUGCUGCAUGGUGGGGGUUGGAAAGUUUCGGCGGUUGGGGAUGGACUCGCGGCUUAUCAGCUUGUUGGUGGGGUAGUGGCUUACCAAGGCUUUGACGGGUAGCCGGCCUGAGAGGGUGACCGGCCACAUUGGGACUGAGAUACGGCCCAGACUCCUACGGGAGGCCGCAGUGGGGAAUAUUGCACAAUGGGCGGAAGCCUGAUGCAGCAACGCCGCGUGCGGGAUGACGGCCUUCGGGUUGUAAACCGCUUUCGCCUGUGACGAAGCGUGAGUGACGGUAAUGGGUAAAGAAGCACCGGCUAACUACGUG
rnacentral:rRNA from 1 species